CCAUGAGAAGAGUAGAAGAGGCUGCCAGUGAGGCUGUGCAGUUUCCAUCCUUGGAGGUUUUCCAAUAUACAGCUGGAUAAAUGCAGAGGAUAUAUAAAACUAUCCAAAAACUUCACAGGAUUACCCCAGGUUGCAGUGAGCAGAGGUCUGGAGUGGGGUGGCAUCUAUGCAGGUCUACACGAUGCAUGCUGCAGGACUGGAGGUAGAUUUGGAUACUGGCAUCCUGUCUGGAAGCUUGUGCUGUCAACUGGCUAACUGGCUAACUGAAUUCAGAGUAGAAUAGGUGUAUUUUCAUCAUACAAAGAUGAGCAGUCAUCGAACACCAAUAAGCACUUUCACUGGACUCUCGAAAAGCCACCACAGAAGGGUAGCAUGGGGGAGAGAAUGGUACUUGGAAGGAAGGACGAUGACGGGAGAGCAGAAAGAGGAGGUGAGGAGGCAGCAGGAAGAGUGGAGUUGGGGAAGAGAGAAAUGCAUCAUGGCAUGACACUUCUCCAACUAAAUUGUUAUUCUGUUGUUUUCACUAAAAAAAAACAAACAAACAAGUAACAAACAAAAAGCACAAAGAUCCACUGAAAAAUCUUCAAAGAGUACAUGGGCUCAUACUGGAAGAAAGGGGUAAGUAAAUAGCUACAUGACUGAGAAGCACAUAAUACUUGUAUUCUGUGCAGAAAUGAAUUAUAUUUCUUUCCAUUUCUCUAUAAUUGUACAUUUACUUCUUCUUCUGAGCAGAGUAAUAUUCUUUUUAACUAAUAUUUACAGAUCAUUUUCAGAAAGUUUUUCAUUUCAUUUUACUUAAUAAUAGUAGUAGUUACAAAUCUACUUAGUAAACAACACUUGUAAUAUAAUUUUAUGUUAUGAUAUUUAGAAGAGCUCAUGAAGUGUUUGGGUGUUUAGAAGAAUUCAUGAAGAUAAUUUCUGGGGUAGACAGAGGGAGAAAUUUUUGCUGACAGAUACCUUAAAUUUAAAAGAUGAAAGAAUAAUUUAGGUAUCAAGCCCAUCAUAUAAAGCAACUUAAUUACAGAGUGACCAAGUAUCCAUUCAGCCAAAGACAUAAAUGGAAGUUUCCUUUCUAGUCAUGUAGACAAGAAUAUCAUUACAACCUACAGCUAUAGUUAUUUCAUGAAUCUUACUCAUACUGUUUCUCCAGUUCUUGUUUCUCACAUACUUACUUGUAUUGGUCAGCAACAACAAAAAAACUGUUGUUUCAUAAGAAGACCAUGGAAAGCAUCCAAAAUAGGAAUGCUAUAAUAUUAUCUAUAUUUACAAGUUUAUUUGGAUUUUAACAUCAUUUUGUAGGAGCAAAAUGGAACUUUUCCAAUAUUUAUUUAGGUUGCUUAAUUUAAUUAACCAAGCAUGUUGCCAUGUAACAUGGCACCACAAAACGGAGCUCUUCCUGUGGCAAAUUGUUUCCCAGAAUGAAGUAAAUAACAUGGAGAUUAAGUAUAAAACAGGCAUCACAUGUGGGGCCAAAUUCAUAGUGUGUCAGCUGGUGUAAGUAGCACAUUGUUAAAUUCACCCUCAGUGUCUUAUAUUGAUGCAAUCUCAACCCCCAAAAGAAGGAUUAAGAAUGUAUAUGAAAGCCUAAAUUCCUUACUUACUCUUAAACCUUCUUAAAUCACUCUGGCAAGAGAACAAGGCCUCAGGGCAUGUAGAAGUUUUCCCUCACAAUUUUCAGUUUUCCCUUACACAGCGGGCUUGCACAGUUAGGGUAGAACUGAGAGAGACUCCAUCGGCCUGACAACCAACAUGUGGCACAGCCACACAUAAUGGCCACAAUCAGUGUUUCCUUGUAAAGGAAUCACAAGGAACAGAGCAUGAAGCCAAGCAGCUCUGAUGAUAUCAUAGCUUUUACCGAGGUAACCCCAGAAGACAGAUCAAGCUGAGAUACUUUUAACUUCUUUGGCAUUCUUUUACAUUUAAUUACAUUCACAUAAUUUCCACUUUCCAUCUUAUGGACUGUUAUAGUCUAUCAAGAUUCAUCUCCCUUCAUCUGAUGGUGCUCCAGCCCACCUUAUUAUCUUGUUCUUCGUCACACCCUAAGGCCACAGCAGCUCUAAUCUCUGCAUUUACUGCACACAGAAGCCAAAUUAACUUCCUUGAGCACACAACUGAGCUUCAGGCAAUUUAUAGUUCCUGUCAGAUUCCUCUGACCACUUAGAGACAGGAAGAAAUCUGAGUUUACAGUCUUACAGUUGCUGGAAGGUAGGGAAGUAAGGUGGGAGUGGUGUGGUAUUCUGUUUUUCUGUUUGUUUGUUGUUUUGUUUGUUUGUUUGUUUGUUUUAUACAACAAUCCUGUUUAUGUUUUGACUGUUUUACGUUUUUCAUUUCCACUGCAGUGCAGAGAACUGUCACUCCAACCCUUUUUCUUGUAAGGAAAGUGGGAAAGACUUAGUCACAUUCCAAUGUCAUUUCCAACCAAGGUAUCAAAAAAUUCCCCUUCCAAUCACCAGCUAAGGAUACCUGUGAUCAUUUCUGUACCUUGGCUGCAGUGUGGAAUAAAGUCUCUGACUCUGAUGUGUGGUGCUCAUGGCUUUAUGCUUGCCACAAAAAGCUUUUUGCUUUGCUGUAUCAUCCUUAGUUCCACCAACUGUGUCAAGCAGCACAAGUGAUAGAUAGCACAAAGUGAUCUAUUUGAAAUUUUAUUACUUGCUUUAUUUCUGAUGCAGGAAGGAAAACUGUGUUGGUCUAUCAACUCUCUAGCCUGUAAGACUCAGUUGGUGGCUCUCUAGUCACACAGGGAUAACCAUGAGACUGAUUACUACCUGUGAGAUUACUGCUUAUUCUUUGUAUUGCUUUAUCCCCCUGCUCUAAAGUAGAAAAAAAUAAUCUCUUUAAUCUGGUUAGAUAACUGUAUAUAAAAGUGAGUAGGAGAAAGAAGAACAUACAUUUUACAUAAUGGCAAUAUAUCAUAUUAUUCAUAGGAGUACUUAAGUCAGCCAAAUUACAUCCUUGCAAUAGUAUGUUCCCUGAAAAUCCUCAUUGUUGUUCAGGUUGGAACUGAUUAGUCUUUGAUGACUCCUCUGUUGCUACUUGUGACAAUCCACUUGGGUUACUCUUUAGUACAGUUCUGUCUACUUCUGAUUCUAACUAUGUCAAAUAGUGCUUUGUAGCAAAAGAGAACACUUACACAAAGUGACAGCAUUUCUAAUGGAAUUCUAUGAACUUCUAGUUGGAAGGUUAGCAAUACAACAUCCCCAUUACCAAGAUACUAAAAAGGAUCCUAAAGAAUUUUUUGUUCACUCACAUUCCAAAGCUACAUAUGAUUUGGUUAUAAGUAAAAGAGCAGAGAGAAAAAAAAAUAAUAAUAAUAAUUCUUAAUCUAGACUGAAUUUUCCUUGGAGUAUUUUCCUAGUUUAGGAGCUGGUCCAGACUAACUGAAACCUCAUGACCACUUUCAAUGUAAAUAUUUGUAGACCCACAUUGUGUUCUGUCAUUCUAGAUAUCAUAAUAAUUAUAAUUAAGUUGCAGCAUAAAUCAUGAAGAAAGUAAACAAAAGCAAAUGAUUUAUCCCAGAAAUGGCAAGCUUUAAAGGCUAAUGGAAAUUUCGUAUUACCAGUACACUCACAAGGCAGGCUUAAAGCUUUGCAUUAUGGUACAAAUAACCUAUGAAAACAUACACAUGAAAAAUCUGUUGAGCUGAUAUAUUAUUUUUUUUUGAGUGGUCAUAUUUUAUCCUAGAUAGUAGAAGUAUUUCAUUCUUUUGACCUGGAUGUUUAAUAAUAACUUUAUAACUAAGAAGCAUUAACAAAGCCACUGCAAGGACAGUUCUAGUAGACAUAUGUUGCAGUUCUAAAGGAACAGCCUCUUUUACCUACUUCUCCCUUAGCUCCACUUUUAUUUAUUCACUAUCAAAUUUGUGCACAGUUAUUUUCUGCAAAAGCUGAAGAGUACAGUGUUUAUGUUAAAUAAAUGUCUAUGCAGCUCAUAUAUCACUGAUGCUCUAUAUGGGUUUUGUUAGAUUACAUAUUGCUGUAGCAUUGUAUAGGAUUACAGUACUACUACUAACUGAGAUAACUGCAUCCCUGCUCUGUCUCAGCAGUUGUGUCCAUGUAUUCCCACCAGACAAAAGUUAUUCUCCAAGUAUUGUGUUCAAUAAAAAAAAUAAAAAAAUAAAGAAAGAAAGAAAAAAAGAAUGGAUUAAAUUUAUCUCUUCAAGCUAUAUGCAGUACAGUUUUGAGUAUAUUUUAUCUUGGCAAACCUUGCCUUAUAAUAAAAUCAAAAAGAAUGAAGUCAGCUAUCAGUUAAUUUUGCCAAGCUUGAACUCUUACAUUUCUUCUCACUAGGCCAAAAAGAAUAGAUUUACACAGUGUCACUGUUAUACUGUAAUUCAAGGUAAUCUAAAAUACUGCAUUAUUUUACUUUCACGUAUAUCCAUAAUCACUUUGGAAAGCUUAAAAAAAAAAAAAUCAUGCAUAUGUUUCAGUUCCUAGAAAUCAACUAUUAAAUGCAUGUACUAUAGCUAAAUAGUACAUGUGUCAUAGUUAUAACAGGGGUUAUAUUUUUAACUAGCCUGUACAUUGUCUUCUUCCUUGUCAUGAAAUGCCAUCUGUAAUGUACAAUGGCCUUGGCUUCACUUCUCAAUCUCUAGUUCCUCCAGACAACUGACACUGAAGUCAUCUUCAUGCUCUUCAUACUAAUGAUCAGAUAACAUUUAUCAUUUAACAUACUAUGGCAACACGGGUCAUCACUGCUUUUGUUGUUCACUGUGACUUGAUGUCAUCUCUAAAACAAAAUUUAUUUACCUAUUUUCUUUCAAAUUAAUGACAGUUUUGUUUCAUUUUGUUUAGAUGAAUGUAUCAGUUUUCCUUCCUGAUGUUUACGUCAUAGACAUGCUGACAGUCUUCAAAUUUUAUGAAACAUGUAAACUCACAUACAUAUAUAUACAUCUCUCUAUAUUUUUUUUUUCUGAAAACAAAUCAUCUAGAUGGCAAUUCUGCCCAUAUUGUAGCAGCAUUUAAUCCAAAUGUCCAAACAAAGAUGGUUACAUGGAUUUAUUUUCAUUUUACCUACAUUUUAACAUGUGGGAUAUUAUGAUACUAGCAAGUAGAAUCUCCCAGGGGAAAACCACACUUUUUUAGGGCCACUUUCCUCAAUACCGUGCACCUCCUGAUGAUGUAAAAAGCAUACCUUCCCAUUCACUUUAAGAAUGUAUUCCUAGCAAAAGAUAACUAAGAACAACAAUCACUCUUUUUAGAAAAUAUGUCUUUUAUAGCCAGAUCAAAGCUGAUAAACUUCCAAAAUAUAUUAAAAUAAUUCUUAGAGUGAAGAUAUUAUGAAUUCUUUUCAAUAAUAGAUCUAGAAAAAAAUAUAAAGGAAGCUCAGGCAACUUUAACAAGUAACAACUUUCUGAAACUUCAGUAAGUUAUUUUAAACAGGUUUCUUACUUUCUUCCAGUUUGCUGAGUAUUGGGAUAUUUGAAUCAUUUAGCUUCUUUAACUGAUUUUUUUUGCACACCACAAUCCAGAUUUUGCAGUAUCAACAGCUCAUAAUGAAACAGAGCCAAUGCAGCACUAGAAAAUAGCUCAAGCAAGAGAAUACACAGAUUUGUUUCAUUUUAUGCAGAUACUCCUUAGAAAUCAGUGAAGAGGGUAAAGAAAAUCCAGAACACUUAUAAAGUUUUACUAAAAAAUGUUUGGAUAAAAUGCAUUUCAUAUUUGUGAAGUUUUCCAUACACUGUUGAAAGUUGAGGAGUAACAGUUGCCAAAACCUUAAUUUCAGACAUUUUUGCUGCACUUGACUUAUUCUUACAAGGAUUUUUCAAAUAACAGAUUUAGAAAGUAGUCACUAGUUAGACUUUGAAAGUAGCAAGAUUAAAAAACAAAAACAAAACAAAACAAAACAAAACAAAAACAUCUUUUAACUGUGUUAUCUGAGAUAGUGUAUCCUUCUAUUUAGAAAUACAAUUAACAUUCAUGUUUAAACUUAUUGAUGAUAAAUGCUGGGAGCAUGUCUAUAUUGUGCACAUGUACAUACAAGUCUACAAAAGAAAAUAAUUUUACAUGCAGAAUGCCUUCUACUAUGCUUAUAAGAACAGAGUACAAUUCAGAUGAUUUUCACAUUGGAAAGGAUCUCACAAUUUCAUAAUUCUACAUAGUCAUAUACCUAUGUAGUGUAUAUGAAUAAAAAAGGAUUUUUCUCUUGGAGAGCUCCCAAGGGUAAGACUCAAAAAUUAUAAAAGAUACAGCUAAAAUAACAUACCCAACUUAUAUGUGAAACUAUCUUUAUUCUUUUUAGCUUUCAGUGCUGAAGUGUAACACUUAGAAUAUCUGAUUGGUUAAUCUGCAAAGAAAAAUGCGUAGUUUUCUCACAGCUCGAGGAUUCUUCUCAGAGUUCUGGAACUGAAAUAUCAUCUCUGCAUUAUUUCUCUCAACUAGAAGGACUUUCUUUAUUUUAUGUGUAUAUAUCAUAAAAGUGCGUGUAUAUUUUUGGUUCUUCAACAUUCCCUAGAACAACAUAAGGCUACCACUAAGAACAUUCUUCAAUUUAAAGUGAAGUAAAAAUGGAAAGAAAUGAGCUCUGCAGUAAUAAGGAAAACAUGGAGAUUGAAAAAUAUUUGUUACUUACUGCCAUGUUUGCAAAUGUCAAAGACCAUUAGCACAAGGAGGUUAUUUAUUUAUUUGUUUGUUUGUUUGUUUGUUUGUUUGUUUGUUUUCUGUUUAAAAACUUUAUUUUUUAGGAGAAAAGACAUGAAAUAUUUCCAUGAAGACGUCAAGGGAUGGGAGGACAGUCAUUAAUGCCAGUGUUCAGAAUGGGAAGAAGACAAGGCAGCCAGGAAUGUUUGUAAUGCUGCAAUGCAAACAUGACCUGGAAAGAGCAGAGAAUACCAUAGAAAUUAGGUGCACGAGUUAACUCCUUUUCUGCUGCCUUGCACAUUUUAAGUGCCUUUUACAUCACUCUAGGAGAACUAGGGCAUGAUAUGAUAUGUGAACUUUGGAAGAGUUGUACAAUCUAAGAACCAGCUCCAAAAUAUCUUGAAGGUGUUCUGGCAUGAUUACAAGCUCCUGCCGAGCAAAUAAGAGUCCACAAAAGUUAGGCAAGUCCUUGGACUAAAUAACGUCUCAUCAUCCAAGAGAUCUGUUUGAUUAGAUAUGCUAAAAUAUUGAACAGCAAUAGUCAAAGACUUACAGUCUGAUGAUUGUACCAGAAAGGAAGAGGUGGGUUAGCAGAUUUUACUGACAGUGUGCAUUUUUUUUCUUCUUCUUUUAAAAGCCAGAAAACAAUGACACAUGACACAUGACACAUGAUCAUUUCAGUUCUAAUGUGAACUCUGGAACUCUGGCAUUGGCAAUCAACUCUUUUUCUAUCUAGUAGCUUUUAUUAUCAGACAGGUAUCUCUUGUCGAGAUCUUCAUACAUGGGUUACAUAUGUAUAUGUUAUGUUUAACCAAAAAUAAAAUUCCAGACUCCUUAAUGUAGGCAGCACACUGGUGUCAGGAGAAUUUAUCUAGAUGAAGACGUACUCCUGUAUCAUUUCUGCUUCCUUCCUUCUUUCUUAUCUUACAGUUAUCUUACAGUUAGAUUGAGCAGGAAGUCUAAACACUGCAGUCUUCAGCAUGAGCCCUGUGUGAACUUCCACAACCAAAACACAGGUGGAUCACAUCUGCUCUACUAUUCACAUACCUCUUACUACACAUAUGAAAAAUAAGGCAGAAGCACCAGAUUUUCUUAGCAUGAUCCAAGAACUCUGUGACACUGUGUGACAUAUGUCAUAUGGCAUCAUUCCAACAUCAUAACAGGUAUAAUUAAAACUGUGACUCACGUAGAUCUACUCUUUUCUCACUCCAAGUAGAGCUUCUUGCUUCUAUGUUGAAGACAGGAAUUAUGUAUUAAUUCUUCUAUAUCUCUGAAAAUGUAACUUGGAGAAUGAACAGUGAAGCACAAAUAUAUCACAGUCAUGUAUAAAAUUAUUUCAGAAGUGUUCUUUUCUUCCACAUAUUUCAGUGGUUCAUGAGUGUAUAGUAUUGACAUACAGUUUAGACUUUGGAAUACAUUAUUUGGAUAAAUACUGAUAUUUUAUUACCACUGUCUGUGAACAAUUUUGAUACAGAUCACUUAAAUGAAAGAUCCAGGAAAAAUGAAGUAGUAAAGACUUCAUUGUUCUAGAACUUCAGGUUAGAGAUACAGGUUAUUCAUAUAUGUGUAUAUAUAACGGUAGUAUUAGUAUUGCUAUAGAUGAAAUAAUACCAAGAUCAGAGAGCAACCUUCAUUUCAGUUAUAUAUAAGAAGUGAUACUCCUAUCAAAGUCUCAAGCCAUGUUAUAGCCCAGUAAUAUAUGCAUAUUGCAAGUUUGCUCAGGACUGAAAAGUAGUUAGACAGAGACAUUUUUUCUGGCUGAUAUUCUAGGUGUUAAGAGAGUGGGAAGACAAGAAGAGGAGACAUAAGGGAAACAUGACAGAAAAAAAUCCCUAAACCACAGCUGGUAUUUUUACCUUGUGUUUUGAGAGAUACCCAGAUAGUAAACAUGGAAACAUGGCUCCAGGUGUUGCUUCUAUAGCAAAAUGAGAGACCAUCUCUUAAGCAUAGUUAAUGGUUCAGUAUAUUGUUGACAUGCUGUUAGCCAGUUUGGAUGCUCUCAGGCACACCUGCACACAGUUAUCUGUAGGCUGCCUGCAAGCAUUUCUGCAAUUAUUAUACCUGCUGCCUAGGAGUUGUCUGUGUAGACUGGAGGCAAGCAGAACUGGAAAUAUGCCAUGCUUCUCUGGCUUCUCAGAGACUCGUCUUUAAGGCUGGUAUUGACAUAGCCAAACAGUCUGGUAACACGAUUGUGAAAAAUACCUCCAACCCCCACCCUAGAGAAAAGUACUCCAGUUGGGUACUGACUGCCAGAGCUUUGGUGUAAAUGAUAAGGGAUAAAUAGAUGGAUAAAAUAAUCUGAAACAAGAGAAAAUCCUCUUGUAAGACAAAUUUACAUGAAGCCAGAAGAGAAAAAGUGUGUGUGCAAGUAACAGGAAGAAUGGUAGUUAUACUGAGAUACAAGAAACACUUCUUCCUGUGACCUCCCAAAGUAGUGAGAAAUAGCAAUGUUUGGCUCAAUGUUUGGUCACAAACAAACUCUAUACCUGUCUUAUAAUGUUCAUAUUGUGCAAAUGUGUCCACAACUGUGCAAGGAAAGAAAGCUACAGAGCAAUGUUGCUUCAGAGUUGUGCAAGGCUUUCAACCAGGUACACAAGACAUAUCAUGCCUUUCUCCAGCUCUGCUCCUGUUCGUGGGUUAGCAGAAGACAAAGGGAUAGCGUAUUCUGUCUUGUGAUUUUAAGGCAUGUAAUUAAUCUGCUUCUAUUUACUGGAUACACAAGUGCUCCCAUGACAGUGAACUGGGCUCCUUUGAGGAGUGUAACAAAUAAACAAAAUGGACUGGCUGUUUAAUCAAGUAAUUGCCCUAACGAUGCCCUCCCAGGCACAAACAUUGGUGGGUUUGAGAGACAAUUUCAAUGUUGUUGACUUUUGAUCAUGUUACAAAGGCCAUUUAUUUACUCAGAUUUCUUCUCAGAGAAGAGCUGAAUGGGCACAGUUACUCCCUCUGAUCAUGGUGGAAGGUUUUUGAUAUUCUGAUGUUAAAGCAGCUGGUCUUAGUGGAACUGUUCAAAUGAUUAAAGUGGAAAACUGCUGAAUAUCUGGAGGAAGUGGGCACAGUAUGUCAAUAAGACCUGGACCUACAACUUUACUAGCUCCUCGUUACAUUUUCAUCAUUUCAGAGAAAUAUGAUGGAAUGUAGUGCCAAACUAUCUGUCUUACCCUGCUGUCAGUUUUACUUCAUUAGGAUUGAGACCAUGCUCACUUUCAAUUGCUGCUGUAGUGUUUUCCAAUGUGUAGCUAUUGCCUUCUCAUCUAAUAGACUGUUGCAUACGAUUUAGUACUAGAUGAUGAAUCUCCCUUCCUGGUAAAUGGCUUAGCUAAUGGUUCAUCCAACUAACUGAAUGUAGAUAGAGUCAGCAGGGCAGAACCAUGAGAAUAUAUAUUAUUUAUCUGAUGAUGUAGUAAUGUAUUAGUGAUUGCAUUCAGGACUUAGAUAAAUCAUAAUAGAAUCCUUAUUCCUGAAGUGCUUAUUCAAAAAAAAAAAAUAAAAAUUAAAAGAUUUACUGUACCUUUUGUAAGUGAAGAUUUCUUCUGUGAUUAUCUACACAGACUAACACUGUAUUGGAAGAUCCGUUUUUGGCAUAAGGAUUUUAGUUAUAAUCUCUUCUGCUUAUCCUUAAUGGUUGUCCAUCAAGGAAUAAGUUAGGAAUCCAUUCUGCAUAUUUGCUGAAAUAUUAUGGGUGAAAUCGAGUGGCUUUUCCAACAUUCUCUCUUUUACCAAAACAAGUUGUAAUGCAUAAGCUGCUAAUGAGGUCAUACCAUAAUUACUCUGUUGUUUUCAGGCAUUACAGGAACCACAUUUCAUUCUGUUCUUUUUGUAAUUCACUUUGUGAUGGUUUAGCUGUGAAGGCACUAUGUCUGACCAAAUUUCAUGCAGGCAUGGGAGAGUUAUUAAAAAACAAACAAAAAAAAACCUGUCAUUUGUAGUAGGAAAACACGGUACACUGUCCUUCUUUCCUUUGUGUAUAGUACUUAUUGCUUCUGUCAAGGAGACCUCAUGUCUAAAUGAUAUAUUUCAGCUUCACUGUUUUUCUUAGUUUUGCUUAUAUUUACCUUUAUUUUAGUAUUUGCUGACUGUCCUGUUCUGGCAAAAAGUCUUAAAUGAAAAUGUUGAGUCUAAGCAUAAUGGGUAAGUCUUCACAUGAGGUGACACCUACGUUUGCAUUGCCAGGGGAAGUGCAAAAAAAGUGUAUGAUUAUUGUUGCUUUUAAUGGGCUCCACUCCAAAGGUUAAGAGGUAACAGGUUUUUAUCUAUUUAUUUACUUUUUAUUUCCAGAAGGGAGUUUGCUAACCAACAGACUGCCUUGUUCAGCAACUUGGCACAAGCUUCAAGGGGCUGUUCCAGCUGCAUCUGAUCGAUCCUUACCAUGAAGAAUAGAGAGAUGAAAUAGGCUUUUUGGGAUUAUGAGUGUCUUUGUCUUCUUUCAUUCCUACUAGAUUACGUACACUGCCCUUCACACUGGCUAGUUUUCAGGCAUGGAAAGACAAGGCAUUUUAUUGGAACUGGUUUUGUUAUAUAAGCAGAACAGAAAGAUCUAGUAAGAAAAAUAAGCAAAUAGUGUAUUUUCUUAAAUUAUCUUGACAUGAGAAUUUAGUUUAUCCAAGAGAAGAUUUUUUUUAUUUUUUUUUUACUUUUAAAAACAUUGAAGGCAGCAAAACUUAAGAUAUGUGAUACGUGUCUGUUGUUCCCAGGACAAUAUGCUCAGUUGCAGCAAUCUUUAUAUAGGGGUCACUUGAGUUAGACAAAACAAAGGUGUUUAUUACCUUUUAAAAAAUUUUUACCUUAAGACCCAGUAAUGAAUCACAUUCAUUGCUCUCAUUUAUGCUUUCUGAAGACAGUUCAGAAGUCAUGUUCUAUAGAGUUAAUACUAUGCUUGGGCUCACAAAUAUGCAGAGGAAGUGCAAAUUGGCACCACCAUCAUGUCUGCUAGGAAAAAGACAUGUUUGCAUAGCAUAUACACAUUUAUUUACAGUCAACAAAACAGUCACAUUAUAAGUGUCGAGAUAAUUGGGCGGGAUGCUCAAAAAAUGCCUUCACCUAAUGAAAAAGAAACUGUGUCACACAGAAGUUAAUUUCAGAUAGGAGAUGGGGUUAAGAAACUCUUUUUUGUCUUAAUUAAAUAUGUUUGCAGGACAGUUGACUCAGAACGUCCUGAAGGCAAAUCCAGGCAAAUGCAAUGUAAUUCUGAAAGCCUCCAGGAGCAACACUGAAGCCAGAUAAGGGAGAAAGGUGUCUGAGGGUAUCAGGAUCUUUCAGGUGUAAUUCCUCUCUACUGUAUUUAGUUCAAUAAUUGUUCAACUCCCUAUGUCUCACUAUCAUCUUCUCACAAUAUUCUUGGUUUUAAUUUGUAGGCACAUGUGUACUGCCUUCAGUCCUGUCUUCCCUGCCCGCAAUGUCCCCAAAGCACAAUGCACCAUGAUCUACUAGACACACAUUUUUGUACCUCCUAAGAUUAGUAUACCUAUAUUUCUAGCUUUUUGAAUGGUACUAUGUUAAAAUGUAUUUUUUUUAUUUUUUUUUUCUAAGCCUCACUUAAACAAAAGGAUGUUCAUCCAUUGAGUUCACUGCUUCAGGAUCAGACUAUGAUUUAUGAAUGUGUUACAUGGGUCCAAUAACAUUUAAGUUGCCACAGAUAUCAAUAAAAGAUCUAACACAUUUUGUUUGUUAGCUAAUUGUCAUUUAAAACUAUGGUAGACUACUUACAGCUAAAAGUACUAUAUACUAUUUACUGUAGAAGUAAAUACUGUAGAAUUGUUAAUUAAUUAACAAUUAAUUUGUUACAUGUAAGGUUACUUCAUGAUAACAAAAUGUUACUACUAAAGGAUUCCCAAGUUUCCACAGAAAUAUGAUUUAUCUAAUGGUAUGCUCCUGAUACACUGAUUUGUCUCAGAAGUUUUCUCUUACUCUGGGGUAAAAACUGGUUUCAAGAUGGUGCCCUAUAUUCUUCAAGAAAACAGUCAGUAUAAUCACAUUGUAUCUUAAGAUUGCAAGACUGACUUUGAUAUAUUGCUAGGAUGAGGAAAUUCCAGAGUGUAGAGUCCAAUACCGUGAAUUAGAACUUUCUGAGUCAUUGACUUUAGAGUCACUAACAGUUAACAGAAACACUUACGGAUUAACUGGAAAAGAUCAUUCUUACUAUUUUUAUAUUGCUAUUUUAUUGGUUAUUAUUUUGGUUAUUGUUCUGGCUAUUCUUACUAAAGGACUGUGUAUAUAGCCUUUUGCCAAAGUCCUAAAAUGUCCAUGUGUUUUCUAGGGCAAACUUGCUUACCAGAGAUAUACUCAGUUCUAAAAUCUUAUGGAGGCAGUUUGGAUUAAACCUGAUCUUUGGAUCAGGUUUAAAACACAUUGAUGAGGCCACAUGUGAAGACUUGUACUGCAUUGUCCCCAUUCUAGGAUAAUGAAAAAUUUAAAUCUCUAAGCCCGUUAAUUUGACACUUUUCACCCAAAGUAUGUUGGCUAUUGCAAGAAAAAGCAACAGUAAUAGAAAUUUGUAGGCAAUAAAAAUAAUUGCAAUUCAAGCAAGAAUUUUAGUUAUUCCUAGGGAAACAUAUCUCUAACCAUUUAAAUUUUGGCUUUAAACAUCUAGGUACUUUGCAAAUUGUUAGAGUCUUUAUGCACAGGGGCAAUUUCAAAUGAACCUAUUUCCUCUACUAAAACUUAAGAAAAAUGUCUUGGCACAAAAAUAAAAGUUGUUGAUAUUUACAGAAAAAAAAAAAAGUGAGUAGCUAUUUGAAGUAAUGAGUAAUUUCUUAUAUAUAAAAGGCUUACACUGCAGUUCCAGUCAUUUUCUAUGUUUUACCAUCCAAUAGAGCUAUUUACAAUGGGGAUGGUUCAGACAUUCAGUGCAGAUUAAAUUAGUGUUCACCAGUUACUCUGGAGAAGUGAGCUAUUUGCGUCUCCUCCUAAAGUCAUCCAUCACUAACCUUGAACACUUAAACAUUUCCUAGAGAGCUUAGCAUUGUAUCAAGUCUAACACCACACUUAAAAAGAAAGAAGUGUAUAAAAUGUGAUAAGCAUAGCAGAAAUACAGGGAACGUGAGUGAAGUGUUGAACCCAUCUGAGAUUUCCAGAUACUCCUGGACCACAAAUGAUCAAAAAACAAAAACAAACAAACAAACAAACAAAAAUUAUAUUGGAGAAAAACACAGGUUGGUGUCUUUAACUUUCCCUUCCUUGUUGCAGUCCAUUACUUUCCAUCUUCCCAGUAUUUCAUUUUUAGCAAUGUGCUCAAUAUUUAUCAACCAGAUUAAGUUUUAUAAAAACUGGUACUUUCUAUGGAUUUACAAAGUAGCUGCUAAUUACUAUUUUUUUGAUUCCUUGCAUUACUUUCACAAUCCAACUUAAGUAUGACUGAUAGUACACCAGCACAUUGUAAUCAGCUAGUCAUUUUUAUCAUCUUCAAUUUCUGUAGAGAUACAACCUAAGAAACCCAUAAAACUCUUGAAUCCCUGUAGUGUUGAAUUCUAACACCCUUGAACCUGACAAGGAGACAUUCAUCUGCAGCCUAAAGCGUAGGACUUCACAGUCCUCUUUUUGUUUCUUUGUUUAACUGCCUUUUGGUGAGCUAAUCAUAUCUGUUUUUUGUUCAAACUUCACAUCUUACAGGAAAUUUGGAGACAUCUAUGCUUCCUAAAGUGAUAAAUGAUUCUCAGUAUUUUAUGUCAGAAAGAGGAGAGAAGUGUUAUUGGUGAAUCUGUUGUUUCUGUAGAAUUCCCCGGUGAUAUGUCAGAUAUUGAGAUGUGAUAAAGUAUAUAGUUUUAUUGUUAAUAGGAUUGGCAGUUAAAGUAUAUAGUUUAAUUGUUAACAGGAUUUUCCUCCUUUCUGCUUCUCCAUGUGUUCUCCAAAACAGGUAGUAUAUACUGUCCAAAACAAAAACUGGAUUCCAGUUUCUUAGUACUAUCUUAAGUGAUUUGCAAUACUUGGCCUUUUUCACAUUUUUUGAAGUAGAUACAAAGUUAUUUGAAGAUACAGUCCUACUAGAUAACAGUCACUUUCAUGAACAGUGAAGAAGAUGGAGUGAUUUUUAUAGCUACCUUUUACCGGAGGCAUUUCACAAGUUGCUUUGGAGAGUUGGGUCUUGAUAACUGCAACAUUUACUAAUUUUUUUUUGCAUAUGCUUUUCUUUGUGGUGAUUUUUGUUUGUUUUGUUUAUCAUUUUUUAUUGCUUUAGAACAUUUGAAAAUGUUUUGUACUUUAAACUUGGAUUUGUACCUCCAGAUAAUGUUUUAGGUUUUCCUUUCCUUUUCUUUCCAAUCAUAACUAAUAGAUGAAACCAGGUUUUUUGUUUGUUUGUUUGUUUUUGUUUUUUUAAAUGAUAUGUUUAUUCACUUCUUUAUGAGCAGUAGAUAUGUUAAUUAACUUUUCUUCCUGGGGGAAAAAAGUGUUUUCAUAACCAUCCAAGCAUUGUUCUGUGGCCAGCUAGCAAUUCCAGCGUGAAGCAGAUAUGUCUUUUUUUUUCAUGGAAUAAUGCAGAAGAUAUUUCAGGGAAGCUUAAAGUAUGCUUUUAUAAACCUUUUACUGUUUACCUUUUGCAAAUUAUGCAUGUUUACUACUGCAUUGCCUGAAAAGAGAAAGAAAUAAUCUUCAUGAGAAUAACUUCCUCUCUGAAUGGUAAACUGUUCAACUUUCUGUACUUUUUCUAGGUCAAUCAGAAAGUCUUGCAGAGGUUAGAUUGCUGAUACUCUUUUAUUGCAAUCUCACUGAUAUCAAACAGAAUGGAGCUAUAUGAACUGAUAUUAUGCUGUUAAAGACAAAGAUUUAUUAAGUGACUACGUAUGAGAAACAGGACAUUAUAUAGCUUCAUAAAUAUAUAAGAUUUUGUUACAUGACUGGAACACUCUCUGAACCUUGCUUUCUUUCAUUCUACCCGGUGUUGCUUCUAGUGAUCAGCUGGAUAAAUAUUAGUACAAAACGUAAUUAUUUCUAUAUUUUCUGUUCCAUUUGAAAAUGAUUUUUCAUCUUUCAAAUGCUAGCUUUACCAAAAAUUUCCUAUGGUGCUGUCACUAUUCUUCAGACAGUGAAAGCAAUUCUCAGUGUUCAUGAAAUUAAAGAAAGGUCGUUAUUAUUAUAUGAUGAGUCACGGAGUGCAAAUAAAUAAGAAAUCAAAGUUUGCAUUUCAUUUGAAGUUGUGAACAGUUUCUUAUGGGUAAUUUUAUUCAUCUGUGCUUGUAUGACUCUAUGCAGUUCAGAGAAUUUUAUGCAUACACAAAAAUCCCCAUAAAUAGUAAGGAGCUGAUACUCCUUUUUCUCUCCCUCCAUCUGUUAUCACCUGAGAGGAAAACUUGGAAAUGGUACCUUCUCUUAAUGAUGGUGUUUCAUAGGUAUCCCGAGAUUGUUUGAAUGUCUUCUUUAGAUUAAAAAAAAAAAAAAAAA